UACAUGGGGUGCAAACGUUGCUCGGAAUUAUUGGGCGUAAAGCGCACGUAGGCGGUUCGUUAAGUCGGAUGUGAAAAGCCCCUCGGCUCAACUGAGGAAGUGCACCCGAAACUGGCGAGCUUGAGUACGAAAAGAGGAUCGCGGAAUUCCCGGUGUAGAGGUGAAAUUCGUAGAUAUCGGGAGGAACACCGGUGGCGAAGGCGGCGAUCGUGGGUCGAUACUGACGCAUGAGGUG
rnacentral:rRNA from 1 species